rnacentral:rRNA from 1 species
CUACGGGAUGCAGCAGGCGAGAAACCUUUACAAUGCACGAAAGUGUGAUAAGGCAAUUCCAAGUGCUCAUGUUAUGCAUGGGCUUUUGCUAAGGGUAAAUACCUUGGAGAAUAAGUGGUGGGCAAGACUGGUGCCAGCAGCCGCGGUAACACCAGCGCCACUAGUGGCAAUCGUUUGAUUUGGCCUAAAGCGUUCGUAGCCGGAAAAUUAACUCUUUUGUGAAAGUGGAUAGCUUAACUAUUCGACUUGCGAAGGAAACUGAUCUUCUUGAGACCGGGAGGGGGCAGAGGUAUUUUAGGGGAAGCGGUAAAAUGUUAUAAUCCUUAGAAGACCAACUGUGGCGAAGGCGUCUGCCUGGAACGGUUCUGACGGUGAGGGACGAAAGCCAGGGGAGCAAACCGGAUUAGAUACCCCAGUAGUC